UUUGAUCUUAUAUGAAAUGAAUAUCAGUAGAACUGUAGAAAAAAAUAAAAAAUUACCACAAAAACCACCAGUACAUUCAAUGACUUCAGCUCACACAUUUGAAUCUACUACUACUAUUAUGUUGAUUGGAUAUUUGAUGUCUUCAACACUCAACUUGGCUUUUUCCUCUUGAUCAUUUGUAUUAUCCAAAACUCUGCUGCAGCUCCUCUUAUUUGAAGCUACUCUAAACAUUUUCACUUGAUAUGGGAGAACCAACAAUAGCUGGAAACCAUUAUAAUAAAUAAAAACAAGAAGAAAUUAUUUUUAAAUUAGCUUGAAACUUCUCCUGCUCCUCACCAGUCAGUUCUAAAUUGAUUAUCAUGUUGCCUAUCGCCAUCAACUGCAAAAGUUUUUAUGUUGAGAAAUACUUGUAAAGAAAACUACUAUUAUGGGAUGAAUUACAAUUGUGAUUUUAACUCUGGGUUUCUAAUAUUGUAAUUUUGCCUCAAUUCGCAUUGAUGUCUUUUACAUUGUCGUUAUAUUAUUAUCCUCGUGUUCAAGUUCCAAAAUGAUUGGCAAAGCAUAUAGAAAUGCAUUGAUAAACAUAGUCAUCUUCUCAAUAAAUUUGGGAUGACUUGCAUAAAUCUUUUUUCACCAUCACGUUAAGUUCAUUGCUAAACAUAAUGGAAUAGGAAUGACUAAAGCACAGUAUCUCAAAUUAAUUCGAAGCCAAUUGCUUUAUGCAAUCAACAAAAUAAGUCAAAUCAACAUAGUCCAUUAAAUCUUAAAUUUCUUCUGUAGAAAUUACUAACCUUUUAACUUUGCUUCCUGUGGACUUCUGGAAUAGUUCUCACCUUACAACAAAGUAAGAUCUACCAGAACAGGAAAGAGAAUUAUAAAGAUUCCUCCAUCUCGAUUAAUUCAACAGUUGAAAACUUUCUACUUCACAAGCCAAACUAUCAUUUUGCUAUCAAUAUAGUUCUUGUACAUGGAUAUAAAUAGAUAUGAAGACAUGCAAUUAGAGAACAACCUUACAAAUACUUGACCAACAAAUAUUUCAGAUUCAUGCUGAAACAAAAAAUGCCUAUUAAUCUCUUAUAUGUCUAAUAACAAGCUUUACUUUCUGAACGACAUUUCAAUGUUUAGCUCUAGCCAAUUAUAUUUACUUAGUUUAACAAGGUUGCAAAUGAUUUGAUAAUGCCUGUGCUCUUUCUAGAACAAACCAUGGAUCAACUCGGGUCAAUGAAAUUUUCAAAAUGGUCAAGGAUUCCCAGGUUAAUUGGUUUAUCAGGGAGGGUCCGGCCUAGUUACCAAAUAAAUAUUUUAACCCAAAUAAGGAUGCGUAAACAUUUCACUACUAUGAACCUGAAAGCCAUGUAAACAAAGAGAAAUUUUAUAACUUCAAAUUAAUCUAAAUUUAAAAAUCUUAACUUGCCCAAUAAUGCAUUCACCAAGAGAAGAUGGAAAAUGACGAAUUUAUAAGAGAAGGUCUUGAGUAUAUGAUGACCUUCAUCGAUUACAAUGUUCGUUCAUCCUAUUAUUCUACAAAAUGCACAUUGCAAAAGGAUAUUGGAAGCUGAGACGGUGAGCAGUAUUGAGUCUCUAUUUCUACAGCAGAAAUAGUCAUCCAGUAAAUUCAAUUUGUUAUCAUACUAUUUAAAAUUUGAAAAUAAAUGGAUGGGAGAGGGAACCCCG
rnacentral:lncRNA from 1 species